AAUCCACUAAAACUUUGACCCUCGCACAACUAGGUCUUGUUUUAUUGAUUGUUGCCAUAUCCAAAUAUAAUGGUAUUCCUGCUGCUGAAGCAAUUGAGAAUAGGGACUCCUUCACAAAAUAAGUGGGCAGUAAAUUUGGGAAAGAAAUCCAUGCCAUUGCUUUAGUAGUUUCCUCAUCAAUUUUGAACUUGGAAUCAUAUAUGAGAGGCCUCAUUUGGGAUCAGAUUGCGAAGUUGCUCGAUAUCUGGCAUUCCAUAGGAGAAUUUUCCAACAACUGCAUAUUGUAGAUUCUCAAUGUUAUUCAUACGAGCCACCUCUUCCUCAGUCCAUUUGAGAUAUGGUACUCCAUGAAGAAAAGAAACCUUCUUAAUUGGAAUUGGAGUUACUGCUUGUGUCUUCCUGUGAUUGAUUUCAUUUAAAAUUGUAGGAUUCAAUAGAUCAGCAAAUGUUACUUUGUU